UCUCAACAAUUAGGAAUGAAAUUUUUUUAGUUUUCCAACAAUACCUUUGAUUUUUUAUUAUUAAAAGUUAAUAUUAUGAAGAGGUUUUUUUAGGCUCAAUAUUCAAAAAUUAUAACAGGACUAAGUUAGUCCAAAAAAACUGAAUUAAAUGUGUUCAAGAUCGAACAAUCCAUAAUUAACGAUAGUCCGACUGUCCAUCAAAUAAUCAAAUCUAGCCAAUUCAGGUAUAUCGUAGUGCUUGAGACGAUGUGCGGAUAAUUUUGGGUCUACAACAGAUCACCAAUUGCCGGCUAACGCGCAGCCACCGACGACAGUGGUUCAUGGAAUUUUCCAACGACUGUGAAACUCAAAAUCAACGGUCGACACUUAUGCCAAAAGUUCAAGCACGAUGAUAGGAGAAGAUUUUGUAUUGGAUCGAAGUGAUGGCAGGAUUGGCCGGAAAAGCCUCGGUGGCCUUGAAACUUCUCGACUACGAUUCUCUGUCGACAAUGAGUCAACGACGGUAAGGCUAGGACUUUCGACUUCCUCUGGAGCAAAACAUAAUCAAAUGGACGAAUUUUGGAGUAAUUCCAGUUGGAGGACAUUCGUGAGUCAUGUAGCUUGGUCGUAUUAAAAUUUCAUAUUUUUCUACCAAGCGGUUAUUUUCUGGCAAUAAAAUAAAGGAGCAGUGCGCGGUGCUGGAAUAGUGACGUUUUGGGCUUUUAUUGCGUUUUGGAGCCCAAGAUGACCCCAGAUGGGUUCGUGGCCUCUGGAGAAGUGUUCAUAACGUUUUUAUCUUUAAAACAAACUAUCUUGGCCCGGAUUUGGAGGAGAUUUGAGCCCAAAACGUGGCUGGGCAGAUUAUCCUAAUCCAAUUUGGACUUUAUAUCCUAGUAUUAUUUUAUUUUAAUUAAUUUCCUUGUGGGGAUAGAAAAGCUGGACAGCUUGUUUGUAGGGGGUAUUUAAGUUCUUUU